rnacentral:rRNA from 1 species
AUUGAACGCUGGCGGCAGGCCUAACACAUGCAAGUCGAACGAGUGGCGGACGGGUGAGUAAUGUCUGGGAAACUGACUGAAGGAGGGGGAUAACUACUGGAAACGGUAGCUAAUACCGCAUACCAUCGGAUGUGCCCAGAAGGGAUUAGCUAGUAGGUGGGGUAACGGCUCACCUAGGCGACGAUCCCUAGCGGGUCUGAGAGGAUGACCAGCCCCACUGUAACUUAGACACGGUCCAGACUCCUACGGGUGGCAGUAGUGGGUAAUAUUUCACAAUGGGCUCAAGCCUGAUGCAGCCAUGCCGCGUGUAUGAAGAAGGCCUUCGGGUUGUAAAGUACUUUCAGCGGGGAGGCGUUACCCGCAGAAGAAGCACCGGCUAACUCCGUGCCAGCAGCCGCGGUAAUAC